CAGAUCGGGAUACUCAUCAAAUAACUUACAAGAAACCGAGACCGCUUCUCUUGCUAAUGGCGGGCCGCAAUUCCAUCUGGAACAGCCUUGUGCCGGCGGAUUACAAAGGCGGAGAGCACUCUAAAUAUUUACACACUCGGAGUUUCAUCACAUCGCCAGUGUAGCAUUUUU
rnacentral:sRNA from 1 species